rnacentral:lncRNA from 13 species
GCUCCCUGCUGUUUCAUUACAACAUCAAUGUUUACACUGAAUCCAAAGACAAAGCAUUGACAAUAACGCACCUCUGAUCACCAGUCAUCUCUCCCAGGCCAGGUAUUUGCCGUUCUCUCCCGUGCCAGGUGUUGGCCGUUCUCUCCCGUGCCAGGUGUUGGCCCUUCUCUCCCGGGCCAGGCGCUGGCCGUUCUGCCGCAAUAGGCCAGGCAAAACAAAUUGUCGAAUUGAUGCACCCAUCUCUCCAACAGCACACUGGAGAGACAAGAAAAAUAUUUAGCUUCCCUGCUUUUGACAAAGUGANNNNNNNNNNGAGCUGAGGAACAUGGUGGUGGAACAGAGAGUGGAGCUGAGGAACAUGGUGGUGGAACAGAGAGUGGAGCUGAAGAACAUGGGGGCCAGAGUGACAGCUAGUGACAGCCAGGUGAAGGAGCUGAAAGGAGAGGCCAAGCAGCAGAACUGUCAGCCAUGCAGGCCAGGGACAGAGAGUGAGAGUGAGAGCUCAGGUACAGUAUUGAAAGAGCUUAAUGACGACAGAUGAAUCAUUUGUUUACAGUAGGUAGGAUUAUUCAUUUCCCCCAGUAGAUCAUUGAAGAGUUCAUAUUUGCUCUGAAAUGUCUCUAGCCCAGGAGGCCAGACUGAGUGCCAGUGAGAGAGGUGGAGGAGCUGAAGGUUAGAAAACACACAAAUGUAGUCACUGCGCCACAUUGACAUUAUCUUCACAGGUGAAGGAUUGCUGUGUAUACUAUAUCAUAUAAUGUGAAAUAACAUACAUUAAACUAUAUUCACAGACAGGCAAAAAAGUGGCAUUCUAUGCUGCUUUGACUGACUCUGGGAGGAUAGGACCCUUCAAUGCUGACAUCCCACUGGUCUACAGUAAAGUCUUCCCCAACAAAUCGGAAAGGCCUACAACUCACUUACAGGUAAAAGCUACAACUACCUACAUGUAUGGACAUGAGAGUACAUUAUGGGCCAGCUAAUGUUACUGAGUGCUGAUGGAAAUUGCUAAUCUCUUCCUGGAUCAGUUUCUGCUCUGAUGCAGAUAUAAGUGAUAAAAGUCGACUAAAUCAGAUUCACUGCCAGUGAUGCCCCUAGCCCAGGAGACAUUGGUGUUUACAUAUACAAGAAUGACAAGAUAAUCUUGUUUAAUUAUGCACACAGUCCUGGUGGAAAUGGUAGAUUUGUGGUAAAUUCAGUGACUCUAGAGCUGCAGGUGGAUGUGGUCUACAUGACUCCCCCCUCGGGCACGGGGCUGUAUGAUGAUUCAGAUAACCUCAACGCCAACAGUGGCUUCCUGCUCUUCCUUAUGUGAGGGGAAUCAAUUCAAAUCAUAGGCCCAAUAAAACUAUAUAACUACCAAUGAAAACUCUUAAUACAAUUAUAUUUCUGAAAACUGAUGGGAGUGAUAUCUAAUCUAAAUCACAUACCUUGAAUGAUGUCAUAGUUGAGGAUUUAAUGAGCCUGUUUUUGUGCAACUUCUGAUUAGGACAACCAGGAGUCAUUAUGUCAGGGGUGUCAAACUCAAUCCAUGGGGGACCUAGUGUCUGCUGGUUCUUGGUUUUUCCUUUCAAUUAAUACCUAGACAACAGGGUGAGGGGGAGUUUCUUUCUAAUCAGUGACCUUAAUUCAUCAACAAGGGAGGAGUGAAAACCUGCAGACACUUGUUCCUCCUGGAACGAGUUUGACAAGUGCAUUAUUGCAUUUCUAUUCCUUAAAUCUCCCAACGUAUUAGCUGUCACUGAUUUGCCAACAUUAAUGUUACACCGUAUAUGACACACAUCUGCAGUAUUACUUGUGUGUAAAGGCACAUAUUUUGUCCUUAGGAGGGGUUUUCCAUAAGAAGUAUGAUAGUGCAUAAAACAUUGCACUUGCAACCGGAUUGCAACCGAAUCGGCUUGCAACCGAAUGACACUAGAGGGGGUACACUGACAGUUUGGUUGGUUUCUCCCUUUCCCAAAAGUAGGAGUAGGAAGAACUCAGCCCUAGACACUGACCUAGGUUAGUUCUGUGUUUUCCUUAGAAGUUAGAGACAGUGAGCUGGUACUCGAUCUGUGCUUCAGAACAACUUCUACCAGGAGCUUUCAGAGAGAGUGGGGGAGUAACAAGUGGGAAAAACACUGCUUUCUCCCAAAUAUCAAAUCCAAUGUUAUUAGUCCCGUGCUUGGUAAACAACAGGUGUAGACUAACAGUGAAAUGUUUACUUAUGGGCCCUUCCCAACAAUGCAGAGAGAAAGAAAAUAGAGAAAUAAUAGAAAAGUAAUAACAGGUAAUAAUACAAGCAGAUCUCAGAGAGAUCAUACUGUCUGAUGAAUACACUGUUAGAUUCUGGGUUAAACUUGGAACAUUGUUAUACUCAGAAGUAUAGUAUCUGAGGAGUGAUGGAGACUGGUUUUUACAUCAGAAGUUAAUGGUUAUCUGUAGGAGCCAGAUGGCUUUGGAAUGUGUUGGGUGGACAGGAGGAAGUCACAGGAUUGCUAUAGGGGAUACGGGUGGAGAUCUUUGGAUUAGGCAUCAAGGGGGUUGAGGUCAGGUCAGAUCCCCUUAAGAGAGAAGCAAUGGUUUAUUACCCUAUCACUUCGUCUUCCUGUCGAACCAUAAAAGAUGUAACGAUUAGAGAGAAGGAGGAGUGCCUAAAUUGGAGUAUAUAUACUUGUGUUGGUAGAAUCAUGUUUUGUCUAAUGCAGCUGUAUUGAUCCUCUGGGAAGAAAUAAACUUGGUUAAGCUUUCAUGGUGUCCGAUGAGUUAUUUACUCUGAGAAUUAGAACCUAACAACACAAAUCAAAUCAAAUCGUAUUGGUCACAUACACAUGGUUAGCAGAUGUUAUUGCGAGUGUAGCUAAGAUACAAUCAGUGUGGAAUUUCUGUGGAACAUAUCGUUACUCAGGCAAACCCAGACUUCCUUCAGAGAAAAUGAGGAUGGGGUGAACACCAGUGGAGGCUGGUGGGAGGAGCUAUAGGAUGGUCACAUUGAAAAGGCUGGAACGAUAUCAAGCACAUCGCACAUAUGAAAACCACGUUUGACUCCGUUCCAUAUAUUCCAUUGAAGCCAUUACAAUGAGCCCGUCCUCAUAUAACUCCUCCCACCAGCCUCGACUGGUGAACACCCAACUUCCUCGGUACCUCGAUAUUAAAAACGGUCCUUCAUAAUUUGAUCAUACCUUGAUAAACUUCAGUGUUGUGUAAUUAUCAAAAUAUGAACGUUCUCUUUCACUGUCAUUUCUGCUCUGCCUCUAAAGAAGCGUAUAUGCCCUAGUUAGGCCUACAUCUCAUAUGUCUACACCUACCAGCAGUGCACACAGAAUCCAACUGAAUGACAAAACAUUACCUGCCGUCACCUGAGGUCCAUCUUGGCUGGGACUGGCUGGGACCUCUGUCUUUGGCCCCUCUGUAGCUCUAUGCUCCUGUGCUCUUCUGUCCUCCAGGUUCUCAGCUGAGUCCAAAGGCACACCUGUCUCCUCUGACGCCAUAGUCAAUCAACCUGUGGGGGUAAACGAUUAUUAUACAAAAGUGU